UGUUCAAAAUGCACCAUUCAAAGCCACAUCAUCAAUUUUCAACCCUUUCUGACUUCAUUUGUUAUUUUUCAUGCAUUUACUGAUUUUUUCAGCUAUAAGACCCUGAAAUUGAAAAGCACUACAAAUGAACUCUGAAAAGGUUGAAAGUUGGCAUGGUAUCAUCAUUUCACCCACAUAGCAUGUGCAAGAAAGUAGAGAGGCUUACGGCAAAAAUUGGAUGCACUUCGGGUACAAAACGGACAAUCUCUUUCGAAGUAUCAGGGUUUCAUACGGAAACUCAUCUGUUACAAAAGGAUUUCAUUUUUUUGAACUUAUUUGAACUCCAUAGUUUUUCUAUGUUCAAAAUGCACCAUUCAAAGCCACAUCAUCAAUUUUCAACCCUUUUUGACUUCAUUUGUUUUUUCAUGCAUUUACUGAUUUUUUUUCAGCUAUAAGANNNNNNNNNNAUUUGAACUCCAUAGUUUUUCUAUGUUCAAAAUGCACCAUUCAAAUCCACAUCAUCAAUUUUCAACCCUUUCUGACUUCAUUUGUUAUUUUUCACGCAUUUACUGAUUUUUUUCAGCUAUAAGACCCUGAAAUUGAAAAGCACUACAAAUGAACUCUGAAAAGGUUGAAAGUUGGCAUGGUAUCAUCAUUUCACACACAU
rnacentral:lncRNA from 1 species